rnacentral:rRNA from 1 species
UACGAAGGGGGGCUAGCGUUGCUCGGAAUCACUGGGCGUAAAGCGCACGUAGGCGGAUUUUUAAGUCAGGGGUGAAAUCCUGGAGCUCAACUCCAGAACUGCCUUUGAUACUGGGAAUCUCGAGUCCGGAAGAGGUGAGUGGAACUGCGAGUGUAGAGGUGAAAUUCGUAGAUAUUCGCAAGAACACCAGUGGCGAAGGCGGCUCACUGGUCCGGUACUGACGCUGAGGUGCGAAAGCGUGGGGAGCAAACAGG